GAGUUUGAUCCUGGCUCAGGAUUAACGCUAGCGGCAGGCAUAAUACAUGCAAGUUGAACGGCAGCACAGGUAGCAAUACCGGGUGGCGAGUGGCGCACGGGUGCGUAACACGUAUGCAACCUACCCUAUACAGGCGAAUAACCUUUAGAAAUGAGGGCUAAUACGCCGUGGUAUUAUCUUGGGGCAUCUUGAGAUAAUUAAAGAUUUAUCGGUAUAGGAUGGGCAUGCGUCCCAUUAGUUAGUUGGUAGGGUAACGGCCUACCAAGGCUAUGAUGGGUAGGGGAUCUGAGAGGAUUUACCCCCACACUGGUACUGAGACACGGACCAGACUCCUACGGGAGGCAGCAGUAAGGAAUAUUGGGCAAUGGGCGCGAGCCUGACCCAGCCAUGCCGCGUGCAGGAAGACGGCCCUAUGGGUUGUAAACUGCUUUUAUACGGGAAUAAUUGUGGGUAUGUAUAUCCACUUGCAAGUACUGUAUGAAUAAGCAUCGGCUAACUCCGUGCCAGCAGCCGCGGUAAUACGGAGGAUGCGAGCGUUAUCCGGAUUUAUUGGGUUUAAAGGGUGCGCAGGCGGAUAUAUAAGUCAGUGGUGAAAGACCUGGGCUCAACCGAGGUACUGCCGUUGAUACUGUAUAUCUUGAGUGUAGUGGGCGUUGGCGGAAUGUGUCAUGUAGCGGUGAAAUGCAUAGAGAUGACACAGAACACCGAUAGCGAAGGCAGCUGACGAUACUUACACUGACGCUCAUGCACGAGAGCGUGGGGAUCAAACAGGAUUAGAUACCCUGGUAGUCCACGCUGUAAACGAUGAUCACUAGCUGUAGGCGAUACACUGUCUGUGGCUAAGCGAAAGCGAUAAGUGAUCCACCUGGGGAGUACGUUCGCAAGAAUGAAACUCAAAGGAAUUGACGGGGGCCCGCACAAGCGGAGGAGCAUGUGGUUUAAUUCGAUGAUACGCGAGGAACCUUACCUGGGCUUGAACGUAUGGUGCAUUAUGGAGAAAUUCAUAUUUCUAGCAAUAGACUUCAUACGAGGUGCUGCAUGGCUGUCGUCAGCUCGUGCCGUGAGGUGUUAGGUUAAGUCCUGCAACGAGCGCAACCCUUGUCUUUAGUUGCCAGCAUGUAAUGAUGGGGACUCUAGAGAGACUGCCUGCGCAAGCAGAGAGGAAGGUGGGGAUGACGUCAAGUCAGCACGGCCCUUACGCCCAGGGCUACACACGUGCUACAAUGGCCGGUACAGAGGGCAGCGACCUGGUGACAGGGAGCCAAUCUUCAAAGCCGGUCUCAGUUCGGAUCGGAGUCUGCAACUCGACUCCGUGAAGUUGGAUUCGCUAGUAAUCGCGCAUCAGCCAUGGCGCGGUGAAUACGUUCCCGGGCCUUGUACACACCGCCCGUCAAGCCAUGGGAGUUAGGGGUGCCUGAAGUCGAUGACCGUAAAAGGAGUCGCCUAGGGUAAACCUGAUGACUGGGGCUAAGUCGUAACAAGGUAGCC
rnacentral:rRNA from 1 species